GCCGGGCAUGGUGGCGCACGCCUGUAAUUCCAGCUACUUGGGAGGCUGAGGCAGGAGAAUCGCUUGAACCUGGGAGGCAGAGGUUGCAGUGAGCUGAGAUCUCGCCACUGCACUCCAGCCUGGGUGACAGAGUGGGACUCUGUCUCAA
rnacentral:SRP_RNA from 1 species